CUCAACGGCAGCGUGAUGACGUAAUAGCACCGCAAGAUGUCGCUCUUUCCUAAGUUUAGAGUCAAAGUUUGAAGUUGUGUGUAAAGUCAGAGGGGAAGCUCUGCAUCACCUUAAAGGAGAUACUGUUCUCAUAUCAAAACCAACCAGCUACUUGUGGGAGUGAAGGUCCUGUAUUGAGUCUGCGGCAACAAAGACAUUCAUUCUGCCUGACACUGGAGACAUUGUCCUGGCUAGAGCCUAGAGUCUGCGUCCUGGGACAGAGCAAUGCCAGCCAGCAAACGAUGAUCCAUGCACCCUGGCAUAGUCUAGGAGCUGCCCGCGAGCGCAGAUGAAAUGCAGUUUAGACCGGGCUGAGUCGCACCAGAACCUGGGGCCGGGCCGCUUCUCCUCAGUCAGUGUCUGGACAUGGAAAACAGAACAUACCAGAGCAAUGGCGACGGAGCACGGACUCCAGCUCUGGUUACCACACUGACCAUACAACACUGGUCACCUGAAACCCAGCACCUACAGCCACCUACAACCAGUCAGCUUCAUUUGUCACUUUCACCACAUGGCUCAUGGUACACUCAACAAUAUAUCCUCAGUCUGAAGCAGUGGAAGGACAGACUCCUGUCUAUAUAGGUCAUGGUUUAAACUGAGGCCACCUCGUUCUACCAGGACUCUGUUCACUCCUGAAGACACCACAACCCAGACGCCUGAGGUGGGAGUCUGGUGUUUCAGCCACUGGACUGACGUCACCCAGUAAAACAUGCACACUUUUUCUUUAGCUCUGUGUUCGUUGGGCUCCAUCAUGUGGCUGCAUGCAGGCCAAUGUGAUGCUGGAGGACAAAGAAAACAACCUCAAAAAGCCCUAGAAAAAGAGCAGGCAGUGCUCCUCAAGUCAGCUGGUGCUGGUCCACAACAAUAUGACCAUGGGCAAGGCACCAAAUAUGUGAGUCUGAUUCCCAUCAGUGAAUAAUACUGACACAACAUGCUGACAGCAUUCCUGAGCUGCAAGAGAAGCUGACGCUCUUCAGCUGGAAUAAAAACUCAUGUUUACGCAGUUUAGAGUAAAAAAAAGAUGAUGAGAACUGGCUUUUUCCUGAAUGACGGGCGAUCUUGCAACAUGGAG